CCAAUAAUUCGAAGGCUUGAUGCUGGAAGGCCAGUUGACCUAUAUGCAUAGUGCUAAAUAUACUAGUAUUAACAUCUUUAAUGCAUUAAUUUGGAAACAACACAUUUAAAGCCUUCCAAAUAUCAAAGUAGAAGUGAAGAUACCAAAGGGAUUUUUAACUCUUUUGUUGAUAACAAAAUAACAACGCAUAAUAAAAGGAAAAUAACCGAAAUACAAACAACACACAGUAGACAGAUAAGGACGUAGCUACACGAACCGAAACUGGAGAUUAUCACAGGGGAUCAGAAUGUGUAAGCAGAUCCUGGUCCAAACGUCACACUCGUCAUUUGAGUCUUUCAAGUUAUAUCAAGUAAGUAGUCAUCAUAUUUCCCAAAAUGAACAGGUUUACGGUCAUAUUUUGUCCUCGCUAAAUAAGUAUCAGUUCUGAACAUAAAAUAAGUUAUAUACUAGUAAGAGGUGAUACCAAUGUUGCAUUAGGAAUUUUGUGGGGUAAAAAACCCAAACUUUUGUACUCUGUCAUUCCAAUGCACACUAUUUUUCCUCAAUGUUAUGCGUCAUAUAAAUUCAUUUCUUAACUCGAAUAACAAAAAGAUCACCAAUGAGAAAUUGGUACCCACAAAUCGAUAAAAUACCUGAAUGCGACAAGAAAAUAAAAAACCAUACAAAAACAGUAAACAUUCUACUGAAGAGUUAAAUACGUUUUUACUUACCAAUAUUAAGACCACAGUAUUUAAAAGCUUGCAGUAGCUAAUCAUAUUUGGAAAAGCGUAUUUUUUUUUAAUAUACGAUACUACAUCAUAAUAACAUCCUUUUUGAGAAAACUCAGAUUUCAGCAAGAGUCCUAUUUGGACAUUUCUAUAUGAAGCACAGAGACUGGUGUAUACAGAGCAAAUGUUCAUAAGCUAUUUUAUAUCAAUUUUGAUACCAGCAAGCAAUUCCGGUUGUUAAAAUGUUGGUGAAUUGAAAAGGCUUCCAUAAGUAACACAGUGAACUCUACUAAUACGUAUUCAAUCUGUAUCUAUGGACGGUUAACUGUUCAAUAUUGAACGGUUCACUGAUAGUAGAACUAAAUGUUAUACCCGAGAAGUGUUGAUGCAAUGUUAAUUUAAUUGACAGAGGCUUAGAAGUAAUAACACAAACGGUAUUUUGAUGUACCAGAUGCUCAUACUUACCAUUAAUGUCUUUUCAGGGAUGCUCGAGGCAAAAUUCAAAACCUUAUACAAUCGUUUAAAAGCCCGAACGAACCACAAAAAAAUGAAAGAUUUAGACAAAAUCAGAACAAACUAUCAACGGUUCGAAUUGACUUCUCUAAAUCACAAAGCUGUAGGAUGGUAUUUCUAUCGAUUCGUUACCUCUUAAUUAAUCCAAAAUAUUUUUUCAUAUCAGACUGAUUUGCCAUGUUUCUUAAGAUUAAUUUUGUUGCAACGCCCUAAUUCGUGCUAAUAUUAAACACUGAGCUAUGUGACAUAUUUCUACUUUUACUUUAACAAUAUAACUUUUACAGGAACUUAUACCCAGGUGUUCAAUUAAGUUAAAGGAACAUUUGAGUGC
rnacentral:lncRNA from 1 species